rnacentral:rRNA from 1 species
UUGCCUCGAGAUGAGUCUUCCCUGUCACUUUAAGUGACCUAAAGGAACGUUUAAGACUAAGACGUUGAUAGGCUGGGUGUGUAAGCGUAGCGAUACGUUGAGCUAACCAGUACUAAUGAACCGUGAGGCUUAACCUGACAACACCGAAAGUGUUUUG